UUGCCAACCAGAAAACUUAGAGCUCCUAAUUGCAAAACCAAAACUUUCUUUUUCUUUCUAUCCAAACAAAUCAGAAAAGCCAUAUCGCUUCUUCUCAGUUAUGGCAACCAAACCUUCAACGCGUUAUGUACAUUAAAAGAUGUUUAGUAAACCAGAAGGAAACAGCAGAAAACCCCAAAUUCCAUUUGUUGUCACGGAGAACAAGCUCUAAACAAACAUCCCACCAUUAAAGCUGCUAAUAGAAAAGCUUUAUUCUACGCGGAGUAUCUAAUUUUCGUCCCCGAGGUUCACUCGUUUUCUCCUUUUGAAUUAUAUAUAUAAAGGGUCACCCCUUUUUGUAAUUCGAUCAAAGCACAAAUUCUCAUCUGGAAAACACCAAUCUUCUCCACUUUGCUUCUUCUUCUUUGUCCUGUAUUGUUAGUUUAUUGUUACUAGUAUCAAUCCAUGUCGGUUUCGGGUAUCCAUGGCCAUAUACUUGAGGUUACCGUUGUUGGAUGCAACAAAUUGAAAGAUACUGAAUGGAUUUCAAGGCAAGAUCCUUAUGUUUGUCUUGAAUAUGGCAGCACCAAGUACCGUACAAGAACUUGCACUGAUGGUGGCAAAACGCCUGUAUUCCAAGAGAGAUUCACUUUCAAUUUGAUUGAAGGGCUUAGAGAGAUCAUUGUUGUUGUUUGGAACAGCAAUACUUUGAGUUUUGAUGAUUUUAUUGGCAGUGGAAAGGUUCAAUUGAAUAAGGUUCUCUCUCAGGGUUUUGAUGAUGCUCCUUGGCCCCUCCAGACUAAAACCGGCAGAUAUGCUGGAGAAGUGCGGCUCAUAAUGCAUUACGCUAAUGCCAAGCACCAUGCCUCAUCAUAUGCUCCAACAGCACCACCAUAUGCAGCUCCUCCCCCUCCGCAAGUCCCUCAAUAUUCUGUACCUCCGCCAACUUAUCCAGCUUCUUAUCCUCCACCAACUACAACAUAUCCAACUCCAUCACCCUAUCCAUCAUAUCCUUCAUCCGCAUACCCUCCUCCACCUUCUGCAUACCCUCCACCACUGGCGCCUUCAUCAUAUCCUCUGUCCAUGUAUCCACCACCCUCACCCUAUUAUCCACCAGGUUCUUUUCCGGGUCUUUAUCCUCGACCACCAUACUAAAUCCGCCAGGAAGGAGACAUUACAACCUGAAGUUCUUUAUGUUCGAAUCUCUUCAGAAAGGGUUGGGAUUAUGUCCAAAUAUCUUCAGUUGUGGAAGAUUUUU